UUGAAGGUAGAUGCACGUAGGUUUGGUGCCUUUGAUUCUCCAAACUGUCCUCCAUUGGCUACGGUAGAAGCAGGAAUUGAAGUUGAAUGGGAGGAGCUGUUUAAUGAAAACCAAGCAACUAAAUUCAAAGUCCAUACCAAGAUGAGUUCAAGAAUAGGAGUGUUGAGGAUCUUUCCUGGUAUAACACCUGAGGCAGUGCGUGCUUUUCUGGAGCCUCCCAUAGAAGGUGUAGUCCUUGAAACCUAUGGCAGUGGAAAUGGACCAGAUUCACGAGAAGAACUCCUGGAGGAGAUACGAGCUGCUGCCAAGCGAGGAGUGA